rfam:Zea mays cultivar B73 chromosome 10, whole genome shotgun sequence.
CCUCUUCGAGAUGAUGAGGUAAUUGUGUAUCUCCUUGCUGGUCUUGGUCCCGAUUAUGAUUCCUUUGUCACAUCUAUGACAACCAAGGAUGCCCUCACUCUUGAUGAUGUAUACGCCCAUCUAAUGACGUUUGAAGC